UACGUAUGGAGCAAGCGUUAUCCGGAUUUACUGGGUGUAAAGGGAGCGCAGGCGGCUUUGCAAGUCUGAUGUGAAAGGCCGGGGCUCAACCCCGGGACUGCAUUGGAAACUGUAAAGCUAGAGUGCCGGAGAGGUAAGCGGAAUUCCUAGUGUAGCGGUGAAAUGCGUAGAUAUUAGGAGGAACACCAGUGGCGAAGGCGGCCUACUGGACGGUGACUGACGCUGAGGCUCGAAAGCGUGGGGAGCAAACAGG
rnacentral:rRNA from 1 species